GUACGGCGCACCUUUGUUCAGAAAUACACCAA
rnacentral:scRNA from 1 species